CAACAUUGUCAUUUAUUGAUUUUCCAUUGAUCAAGUUUGCUCGCCGGUAGCUACGUGAAUGUCUUUCAACAAACACAACUUCUCCAGUAACUGCUUUAGUUAUUUCUUAUUUUCAAAUACAAAUAUGUUGUUGACUAAAACCUCUAUCAACAACUGUUUUUAUUUACACUUAUUAAGUUUCAUGUUUCAAAUGUGUUGUUGAGCUAAGGUAUGCACUGCAUGAAGUCUAACAGUAUUGCAAUAUUCAAAACAUGUUCAUAAGUUCGAUCACAACGAAGGUUUCUUUUGCGAGUGUUCUCGUGUUCUGCUUCUUCAUUCUUCUGUAGCAUGGUUUUAAAUUUCAUGUCGUGUCAACUCUCAGGCUUGCAAAUUUCGCCAAUUGUGUAAUACUUUUACUUCGUGUAUGUCCAUCACGACGAGAGACACUUACGAUGUUU